rnacentral:rRNA from 1 species
AUUGAACGCUGGCGGCAGGCCUAACACAUGCAAGUCGAGCGGAUGAAGGGAGCUUGCUCCUGGAUUCAGCGGCGGACGGGUGAGUAAUGCCUAGGAAUCUGCCUGGUAGUGGGGGAUAACGUCCGGAAACGGGCGCUAAUACCGCAUACGUCCUGAGGGAGAAAGUGGGGGAUCUUCGGACCUCACGCUAUCAGAUGAGCCUAGGUCGGAUUAGCUAGUUGGUGGGGUAAAGGCCUACCAAGGCGACGAUCCGUAACUGGUCUGAGAGGAUGAUCAGUCACACCGGGACCGAGAAACGGGCCCGGCUUCUAAGGGAGGGCGCAGGGGGGAAUAUUUGACCAAUGGGGAAAGCCUUAUUCCAGCAAGCCGCGGGGGUGAAGAAGGUUCUCCGGUUUGAAAGGCCUUUAAGUUGGGAGGAAGGGGAGUAAGUUUAAUACUUGGUGUUUUGAAGGUACCAAAAGAAUAAGGCACGGCUAACUUCGUG